UAUAAAAUUUUGACAAAAUGUGUCUUUUCUCAAUAUGUUUGUUUUUCUUUCUUUUGUGCAACGAACCUGUAUUAAAGAACAUUGGCAGACUCACGUGAAUACGUCAUCACAACUGGUCCCCAGGCAAGGGGCUCCAAUUCAUUAUGAUUCAAGAUGAGGGCUCUCAUGUGGCACAAUGGUGGUGUCCCUGCCCCUGGACUGGAAGUUCUGGAUUCAAGCACGUGCUCCACAGGCUUCCAACUGUGCUGCAUAACAAUUCCACUUCCCUGUGCUGCUAACUGGAAUGCGGUCUCAUGAUUUUUCAGCCAAAAUAAAGGGUCCCCUGCC